rnacentral:rRNA from 1 species
UACGGAGGGUGCGAGCGUUAAUCGGAAUUACUGGGCGUAAAGCGCGUGUAGGCGGUUUGGCAAGUCGGAUGUGAAAGCCCCGGGCUUAACCUGGGAAUUGCAUUCGAUACUGCUUAACUCGAGUCUAGGAGAGGGAAGCGGAAUUCCGGGUGUAGCGGUGAAAUGCGUAGAUAUCCGGAGGAACAUCAGUGGCGAAGGCGGCUUCCUGGCCUAAGACUGACGCUGAGGUGCGAAAGCGUGGGGAGCAAACAGG